ACUCAGUGCACAUUUUCUCAACAUUCAUCCAUGACUUGCGAGCUGGCAUCUUUAAAUAUGUAAAUUGAGACCAAGAAAAUUAAUACAUUUUUUAUGUUUGUUUCUUUUUUUUUUUUUCUUCAGUUUGCUAAAGCACUCUCCAGUUUACAGACUCCCUAGCAUGCAUCUUAGCAGUAUGUGUCUGAAGGAGACUGGACAGGAUUCAGUCCAAACAUACAUUUUUCAUCAAAUGGUGCCAACUAGUCACCAAAGAGAAGCAACUUGCAUUCUGAUGAAGAGGGUGUUUUCCUAUUUAGGAGGAAAUAUAAGGAUUUGGAGUGAAAUAUGAAACUGCUCUAAAUCCUAGGCCUUUAAAGCAAAAAUAUUUCACCGAGAGCAUGAGACAUACACAAGAUCCACGACUUCAACUACUGCAAUUUCAGGAUGAAGAUACUAAAUCAGCUCACUGAAGGAAAGAAAUAUCUUUCAUUUUACAUGCCUUGCUGUGGGAAAAGAUGAGGCUCAACUGAAAGUCUACCAGUGGGACACUUAAUCAAAAGACAUUCCAGUGUAUCCAGUGAGAAUCGGAUCCUAGAACAUCAGGCGAUUAAGGCUUUCAACCAGGAACAUUCCCAGGAGCUCAAUAUCAGAUGAUCUGCUUCCAAAGACAAAGCUGUCCUUUCAGCAGAGCUAUGUGCUCCCUUCAGCAACAGUGUUUUCUUAUUUGAAAAGUAAAUUAAAAUGGUCCUAUUUUUGAAA